AUCUUUACCUUGAUCCGGACCCAGCAUGAUGAUUGGGUUUUCAUGGUGCCUGUGUGAAAUGUGCUUCCGUCAAACCUUCCUAGGGCAUUGCAGGCACAUUGCCACUCUCACA
ensembl:snoRNA